rnacentral:rRNA from 1 species
UACGUAGGGGCUAGCGUUAUCCGGAAUUACUGGGCGUAAAGGGUGCGUAGGUGGUUUCUUAAGUCAGAGGUGAAAGGCUACGGCUCAACCGUAGUAAGCCUUUGAAACUGGGAAACUUGAGUGCAGGAGAGGAGAGUGGAAUUCCUAGUGUAGCGGUGAAAUGCGUAGAUAUUAGGAGGAACACCAGUUGCGAAGGCGGCUCUCUGGCCUAGAACUGACGCUGAAGCGCGAAAGCGUGGGUAGCGAACGGGAUUAGAUACCCCCGUAGUCCCUGAGCGGGCUGG